rnacentral:rRNA from 1 species
AUGAACGCUAGCUACAGGCUUAACACAUGCAAGUCGAGGGGCAGCAUGGUCUUAGCUUGCUAAGGCCGAUGGCGACCGGCGCACGGGUGAGUAACACGUAUCCAACCUGCCGUCUACUCUUGGACAGCCUUCUGAAAGGAAGAUUAAUACAAGAUGGCAUCAUGAGUCCACAUGUUCACAUGAUUAAAGGUAUUCCGGUAGACGAUGGGGAUGCGUUCCAUUAGAUAGUAGGCGGGGUAACGGCCCACCUAGUCUUCGAUGGAUAGGGGUUCUGAGAGGAAGGUCCCCCACAUUGGAACUGAGACACGGUCCAAACUCCUACGGGAGGCAGCAGUGAGGAAUAUUGGUCAAUGGGCGAGAGCCUGAACCAGCCAAGUAGCGUGAAGGAUGACUGCCCUAUGGGUUGUAAACUUCUUUUAUAAAGGAAUAAAGUCGGGUAUGCAUACCCGUUUGCAUGUACUUUAUGAAUAAGGAUCGGCUAACUCCGUGCCAGCAGCCGCGGUAAUACGGAGGAUCCGAGCGUUAUCCGGAUUUAUUGGGUUUAAAGGGAGCGUAGAUGGAUGUUUAAGUCAGUUGUGAAAGUUUGCGGCUCAACCGUAAAAUUGCAGUUGAUACUGGAUAUCUUGAGUGCAGUUGAGGCAGGCGGAAUUCGUGGUGUAGCGGUGAAAUGCUUAGAUAUCACGAAGAACUCCGAUUGCGAAGGCAGCCUGCUAAGCUGCAACUGACAUUGAGGCUCGAAAGUGUGGGUAUCAAACAGGGUUAGAAACCCUGGUAGUCCACACGGUAAACGAUGAAUACUCGCUGUUUGCGAUAUACAGCAAGCGGCCAAGCGAAAGCGUUAAGUAUUCCACCUGGGGAGUACGCCGGCAACGGUGAAACUCAAAGGAAUUGACGGGGGCCCGCACAAGCGGAGGAACAUGUGGUUUAAUUCGAUGAUACGCGAGGAACCUUACCCGGGCUUAAAUUGCAGAUGAAUUACGGUGAAAGCCGUAAGCCGCAAGGCAUCUGUGAAGGUGCUGCAUGGUUGUCGUCAGCUCGUGCCGUGAGGUGUCGGCUUAAGUGCCAUAACGAGCGCAACCCUUGUUGUCAGUUACUAACAGGUUCUGCUGAGGACUCUGACAAGACUGCCAUCGUAAGAUGUGAGGAAGGUGGGGAUGACGUCAAAUCAGCACGGCCCUUACGUCCGGGGCUACACACGUGUUACAAUGGGGGGUACAGAGGGCCGCUACCACGCGAGUGGAUGCCAAUCCCCAAAACCUCUCUCAGUUCGGACUGGAGUCUGCAACCCGACUCCACGAAGCUGGAUUCGCUAGUAAUCGCGCAUCAGCCACGGCGCGGUGAAUACGUUCCCGGGCCUUGUACACACCGCCCGUCAAGCCAUGGGAGCCGGGGGUACCUGAAGUGCGUAACCGCGAGGAGCGCCCUAGGGUAAAACUGGUGACUGGGGCU